GUAACGAGCGCAACCCUUGUCCUAGUUACCAGCACGUUAUGGUGGGCACUCUAAGGAGGACUGCCGGUGGACAAACCGGAGGAAAGGUGGGGAUGACGUCAAGUCAUCAUGGCCCUUACGGCCUGGGCUACACACGUGCUACAAUGGUCGGUACAAAGGGUUGCCAAGCCGCGAGGUGGAGCUAAUCCCAUAAAACCGAUCGUAGUCCGGAUCGCAGUCUGCAACUCGACUGCGUGAAGUCGGAAUCGCUAGUAAUCGUGAAUCAGAAUGUCACGGUGAAUACGUUCCCGGGCCUU
rnacentral:rRNA from 1 species